GGCGUGUACUGCUUGGCUGGGCCUUACUUCUUGGUGAGCCGGCGUGCCCUUUAUUGGUGUGCGUUGGGGAACCAGGACUUUUACCUUGAGAAAAUUAGAGUGUUCAAAGCAGGCCUAUGCCUGAAUACAUUAGCAUGGAAUAAUAGAAUAGGACGUGCGGUUCUAUUUUGUUGGUUUCUAGAGUCACUGUAGUGAUUAAUAGGGACAGUUGGGGGCAUUGGUAUUGAGUCGCUAGAGGUGAAAUUCUUGGAUUGACUCAAGACCGACUAUUGCGAAAGCAUUUGCCAAGGAUGUUUUCAUUAAUCAAGAACGAAGGUUAGGGGAUCGAAAACGAUCAGAUACCGUUGUAGUCUUAACAGUAAACUAUGCCGACUAGGGAUUGGAUGACCUCAAAAUUGAUGUGUCAUUUGGCACCUUACGAGAAAUCAAAGUCUUUGGGUUCUGGGGGGAGUAUGGUUGCAAGGCUGAAACUUAAAGGAAUUGACAGAAGGGCACCACCAGGUGUGGAGCCUGCGGCUUAAUUUGACUCAACACGGGGAAACUCACCAGGUCCAGACAUAACUAGGAUUGACAGAUUGAUAGCUCUUUCAUGAUUUUAUGGGUGGUGGUGCAUGGCCAUUCUUAGUUGGUAGAGUGAUUUGUCUGGUUAAUUCCGAUAACGAACGAGACCUUAACCUGCUAAAUAGCCAGGCCGGCUUCAGCUGGUCUCUGGCUUCUUAGAGGGACUGUCAG
rnacentral:rRNA from 1 species